UGCACUCACUACUGUAAGUCGCUCUGAAUAAGAACAUCUGCUAAAUGACUAAAA
rfam:Salmo salar isolate Sally breed double haploid chromosome ssa14, whole genome shotgun sequence.